rnacentral:rRNA from 1 species
AACGAACGCUGGCGGCAUGCCUAACACAUGCAAGUCGAACGAGACCUUCGGGUCUAGUGGCGCACGGGUGCGUAACGCGUGGGAACCUGCCUUUAGGUUCGGAAUAACUCAGAGAAAUUUGAGCUAAUACCGGAUGAUGUCUUCGGACCAAAGAUUUAUCGCCCUUAGUUGGGCCCGCGUUGGAUUAGCUAGUUGGUGGGGUAAAGGCCUACCAAGGCGACGAUCCAUAGCUGGUCUGAGAGGAUGAUCAGCCACACUGGGACUGAGACACGGCCCAGACUCCUACGGGAGGCAGCAGUGGGGAAUAUUGGACAAUGGGCGAAAGCCUGAUCCAGCAAUGCCGCGUGAGUGAUGAAGGCCUUAGGGUUGUAAAGCUCUUUUACCCGAGAUGAUAAUGACAGUAUCGGGAGAAUAAGCUCCGGCUAACUCCGUG